AGCGUGGUGCUGACAACACCAAGUCGAGGGUUAAGAUCCCCUUACCGGUCAUCAUUUAAAAAAAAAAAAAGUUGUUUCCUCCCUGACCCCAGAGGAGCUGGUUCCAGAAGGUUAGCAUCAAUCCUAAAUUAAGUUUAUGUGUUGCAUUUACUUUCACACACAACAAAUAUAUAUAUAUAUAAAUAUAAAUAAUACAAAAUAAAAACCCUUCUGGGGUUUCUAAUGGCGGUUGAAAUAGUCCCACAUGUGGUCAUCAGAAAAUAAGCCAUUCCUUACACCAGUAUGGGAUAAGCUCUUCGACUUCUAAGAGGUAGGAGUGCAUCCUGCUGUGUGUUUUAGAAUCCUUUCCCUGCCUUGUUUGUGGCAGUGAAAUGCCUCUUGUUCAUGUCCAAGUGUGUCUGACUGUAUCUGAUUUCUGAAUCAUGUUCCAGUUGCUUGGUCCUGCCACAUGGGUCCAGUAUUCAUUUUGAGCAUAACUGUACUAAAACUUUUUUCCAGCGUAAUAAAGGAGUGAUGUGCAAUAUU